rnacentral:lncRNA from 1 species
GGAUCCUUGAAUAGCCCUCAUAGUGUGGAGAAAUCUCUAUCACCCAAACCAUAAACAGACACUUAAGUUGAUUCAAACAAAAAAUUAGGUAUUCAACCUACAUGUAUCAGGAUACAUACUUGUACAUAUGUAUGACACUGAUUUUGUUAUCAGACACUUAACCUAAACCUUUAUUAUCAGACACACAUGCAUACCAUUAUGUAUCUUGUAUAUAUCUUGCAGCAUAUAGUGUGCAAGAUACAUAAAAGUAUACAAUGAUGUAUCAGA